rnacentral:rRNA from 1 species
GACGAACGCUGGCGGCGUGCUUAACACAUGCAAGUCGAACGGAAAGGCCCUGCUUUUGUGGGGUGCUCGAGUGGCGAACGGGUGAGUAACACGUGAGUAACCUGCCCUUGACUUUGGGAUAACUUCAGGAAACUGGGGCUAAUACCGGAUAGGAGCUCCUGCUGCAUGGUGGGGGUUGGAAAGUUUCGGCGGUUGGGGAUGGACUCGCGGCUUAUCAGCUUGUUGGUGGGGUAGUGGCUUACCAAGGCUUUGACGGGUAGCCUGGCUGAGAGGGGGACCGGCCAAGGUGGGAUGGGAAUGGGACACGGCCCAGACGGGGAAGGGAGGGGGGGGAGUGGAACAUAGGGGAGGGGGCGAAAGCCCGACCCCGCAGUGGGGGGGGAGGGGUCAUGGGGUUUGAGUUGCAAAGCCCUUUUAACCGGGGUGUGAAUGACAGUAAUGGGAAAAGAAGCCCCGGCUAACUACGUG